UACGGCGGACGGGUGAGUAAUGCUUAGGAAUCUGCCUAUUAGUGGGGGACAACAUUCCGAAAGGAAUGCUAAUACCGCAUACGCCCUACGGGGGAAAGCAGGGGAUCUUCGGACCUUGCGCUAAUAGAUGAGCCUAAGUCAGAUUAGCUAGUUGGUGGGGUAAAGGCCUACCAAGGCGACGAUCUGUAGCGGGUCUGAGAGGAUGAUCCGCCACACUGGGACUGAGACACGGCCCAGACUCCUACGGGAGGCAGCAGUGGGGAAUAUUGGACAAUGGGCGAAAGCCUGAUCCAGCCAUGCCGCGUGUGUGAAGAAGGCCUUUUGGUUGUAAAGCACUUUAAGCGAGGAGGAGGCUACUUGGAUUAAUACUCUAGGAUAGUGGACGUUACUCGCAGAAUAAGCACCGGCUAACUCUGUGCCAGCAGCCGCGGUAAUACAGAGGGUGCGAGCGUUAAUCGGAUUUACUGGGCGUAAAGCGUGCGUAGGCGGCUUCUUAAGUCGGAUGUGAAAUCCCUGAGCUUAACUUAGGAAUUGCAUUCGAUACUGGGAAGCUAGAGUAUGGGAGAGGAUGGUAGAAUUCCAGGUGUAGCGGUGAAAUGCGUAGAGAUCUGGAGGAAUACCGAUGGCGAAGGCAGCCAUCUGGCCUAAUACUGACGCUGAGGUACGAAAGCAUGGGGAGCAAACAGGAU
rnacentral:rRNA from 1 species